ensembl:lncRNA
GCCUAGUAUGCUGCAAGUGCUAGUUGCAUACAUAUAAAGCAGACUUACAUGGAGAGACUACACAGGCUGAAGGACAUGUAUGCUUUUAACCUUGAGAUGAUUUUCUGGGCUACACUUAGUAACUACAAACACAGCAGCCCAAAGCCCGUCAUGCCUGCCGCCACAGAGAAGAACUCCAGGUGCUGGGAAAAAAGACCAGGAAUAUAUCAUCCAGGUGCCAGUGGUGAAUUCACAUGCCAGAGAGUAAGAAGUGAUCUUCUUUUAAAUGUGAAGAUGAUUUUGAUCUACAUGAUCAUCACAGCUCCAGCAAUGACCGCUGUGGCACAAGGUACACUUCAACUAUUAAACAGGUCUUCAGAAUGCAAUCUAACUCAACCUGGGCCCCAGACGUGUUUUGGAGUUUUAGGAGAACCGCUCGUUUUUUACAUACCUAACAAGCCACAUAUAAAGACAAGCUUGAAAACGAGUACAGAUAACAUUUUAACCUUAAAAAAUGAUACAUUAAUUAGUCUCAAUGAAAAAUACAAGAAUCGUACUAUAUUCUUCACAAAUGGAACAUUGAAGCUCAACAAAGCAGCAAAAAAUGACUCUGGAGAGUACAGCAUGGAAACACACAAUUCUACUGAAGGUGUGUUAUUGUACGCAGUUAACAUCCAUCUACAUAUACUAGCUCCUGUGUCAGAACCAGCUGUUACGCAGAUGUGUUUGUCACCAAAACAGAUGACAGUCAGCUGCUCCUCUGAAGGAGAUGAAGUAGAAUUCAUUUUGUCUUUGGAUGAUAAGUUGUUGAUACAGACUAAAGCCAAUGGUAUAGAAAACAACAGCGUUUCAAAUGUUACCAUCAACUUACCUGGUCAGCUGAUGGGAAACCUGACAUGUGUUGCUCAAAACAAUGUCAGCAGAAAACAAAAUAUCAUCCACCUUACAAGCUGUACAGCUCCUGUGUCAAAACCAGCUGUAUCUCAGAUGUGUUUGUCACCAGAACAAAGGAAAGUCAGCUGCUCCUCUGAAGGAGAUGAAAUAGAGUUCAUCUUCUUAUUAGGUGAUAACUUGUUGAUAAAAACCCAACCCAACAUUUCAGAAAACCACAACAUUUCAAAUGUUACAAUCAGCUUACAUGAUCAACUGAUGGGAAAGCUAAUGUGUAUCGUCCAAAACAAUAUAAGCAGAGAAGAAACCAUCAUCCACCUUAUAAGAUGUGCAGGUAAUAUUUCUGACCACUGUGUUGUGACUGUGGCUGUGGUAGGAAGCAUUGCCAUUCUGCUCAUUCUGGUUGUGUUUCUUGGUAUCCGGAAAUUCCAAAAGACUGGCAUUAUGACUGUUAAUGAAGACGAUGCUGAAGAGGAUGUUGUCUACUCAGAUGUUAGACUGAAGCAGGAUGGAAGAGAAACAAGAGAAGCACCACCGAUUUCAAAUCAAGAUGAAAGUUAACGUUGACUUUCGGUCAAGUAGCUAAUAAAACUAUGCCAGGUUAGCAGUUCCAGCUGUGCAGUUAAUGUAAAGGUAAACAUAUUGUUGGGUCUAAACUCAGACCCCGCUGUAUCCAGGACUUAUUCCCAUGAAAGAAAAACAAGGCAACAGCGUUCGAUCGUUUACUUGCGCAAGGGAGGCCUCGUCGGUAUCUUAGCUCAUCACGAAUGACCCCGAUGAUGGCCUCCUCUCGCUGCCUUUUAUUGAGAGACAGUUCACACAAAACACAGCAAAGCAACGCUCACAUGGUUCUAAGGCAUUGUGUGUAUAUGUGUGAACUUUUGUAUGUAAGU